UACGGAGGUUGCGAGCGUUAUCCGGAUUUAUUGGGUUUAAAGGGUGCGUAGGCGGGCUUUUAAGUCAGCGGUAAAAGUUCGGGGCUCAACCCCGUCCGGCCGUUGAAACUGGGGGCCUUGAGUGGGCGAGAAGAAGGCGGAAUGCGUGGUGUAGCGGUGAAAUGCAUAGAUAUCACGCAGAACCCCGAUUGCGAAGGCAGCCUUCCGGCGCCCUACUGACGCUGAGGCACGAAAGUGCGGGGAUCGAACAGG
rnacentral:rRNA from 1 species